rnacentral:rRNA from 1 species
UACGGAGGGUGCAAGCGUUAUCCGGAUUCACUGGGUUUAAAGGGUGCGUAGGAGGGCAGGUAAGUCAGUGGUGAAAUCUCUGGGCUUAACCCAGAAACUGCCGUUGAUACUAUCUGUCUUGAAUACCGUGGAGGUGAGCGGAAUAUGUCAUGUAGCGGUGAAAUGCUUAGAUAUGACAUAGAACACCAAUUGCGAAGGCAGCUCGCUACACGAAUAUUGACUCUGAGGCACGAAAGCGUGGGGAUCAAAACAGG